UGUUUGAUGGUGUAGCUAUUAAUCUAAAGAUAUCAGUGGUUAAUCUGUCAACUGGUGAAAUAGGACCAGCAAAACUAGUGAGAGUUGAGAAAAGUUGGACUGUUGAAGAAUUAAAACAACAUAUAGGAGAAUUAUAUCGUCUCAAUUCAUCAUGCAUUAGAUUAGUAGUGAAGAAUGAUCAUGAUGAUGUUACUGAUAUUAGUGAUGUAGGAUGUACUUUAACUUUAGACAAGAUAUUCAGAAAGUCAACAUACUUAGACAGACAAUUAGUGUAUGUAUCAUCAGAUCCUGG
rnacentral:lncRNA from 1 species